GCGUCAGGGCCGCUGGCCUCUCCUUGGCUGUUGGAGAGCCAUAGAAUACCUGUUUCAGAGCUGAAGGGUACCUGAGCCCAUGAUAAUCCAUUACCUCGUGAGAAAGCGGAAAAACUGACUUCAGCUUGCCCAGAUGGCGCAGAGAAUGGGUUUCCCGUAACCCCGCCUGUGUCUUUCCUUCAGCCUCGUCCCAAAUGCCGUGGGAGGGAAGGCACUCUCUGUCAAGCUGCUGUCACCUUACCUGAAGUAAGGAGUCCACGCCUGCAUGUCCGAGGAAAACAGUUUUCUCAAACACAUUAGUUGAAAAACUGAAGACGCUGCCUAAAAUACAAGCUGAGUUAGAGACAGCCCUUGUAAGACUAGGCCUUCAGGGGAGUCUAGAACUAUGCCACUGACUCUCCUGGUCUCCAGUUUUUCAACUUCAAAUCUUGGGAUUUAGUCUCGAUGAUCAUAAAAAGAAAUGGAAACUAAGUAACAUGAAUUAACAUAGUCCAGGGUCACAAAGCAAAAUGGAACAAGAACCUGGAUCUGAAUUCAGAGGCAGAAUGCUGGGCCUGAGAAUCAGGAGAGUCAAUGGUAUUAGUGCUUGUCCGGAAGCCAUCAUGCUUCAAAACCAAGAAGAGCUGAUUUUCCAGUUGGAGUCUAAAG
rnacentral:antisense_RNA from 1 species